UACGGGGGGAGCAAGCGUUGUUCGGAUUCAUUGGGCGUAAAGGGUGCGUAGGCGGCGCGGUAAGUCGGGUGUGAAAUCUCGGAGCUUAACUCCGAAACUGCAUUCGAUACUGCCGUGCUUGAGGACUGGAGAGGAGACUGGAAUUUACGGUGUAGCGGUGAAAUGCGUAGAUAUCGUAAGGAAGACCAGUGGCGAAGGCGGGUCUCUGGGCCGAUACUGACGCUGAGGAGCGAAAGCGUGGGUAGCAAACAGG
rnacentral:rRNA from 1 species